GACGAACGCUGGCGGCGUGCCUAACACAUGCAAGUUGAGCGACGAACCAGGGCUUGCCCUGGGGCAAAGCAGCGAACGGGUGAGUAACACGUGGGUAACCUGCCCCGAUAACCGGGACAACCCGAGGAAACUCGGGCUAAUACCGGAUGUGCUCGCCGGACACCAGUCCGGCGCGUAAAGGAAGCUUCGGCCUCCGUAUCGGGAGGGGCCCGCGGCCCAUUAGCUAGUUGGUGAGGUAACGGCCCACCAAGGCCGCGAUGGGUAGCUGGUCUGGGAGGACGAUCAGCCAAACUGGGACUGAGACACGGCCCAGACUCCUACGGGAGGCAGCAGUGGGGAAUCUUGCGCAAUGCGCAAAAGCGUGACGCAGCAACGCCGCGUGGGGGAAGAAGGCCUUCGGGUUGUAAACCCCUUUCAGGAGGGACGAAGGUUCGGCGGUGAAUAGCCGCCCGGACUGACGGUACCUCCACAAGAAGCCCCGGCUAACUACGUGCCAGCCGCCGCAGUAACAC
rnacentral:rRNA from 1 species